AAUGAACGUUGGCGGCGUGGAUUAGGCAUGCAAGUCGUGCGAGAACUGUAGCAAUACGGGGACAGCGGCGAAAGGGAGAGGAAUACGCGGGUACCUACCCUCGGAUCUGGGAUAGCUACGGGAAACCGUAGGUAAUACCAGAUGACGUCUUCGGACCAAAGGUGUGAUUCCGUCCGGGGAGGGGCCCACGUCCUAUUAGCUUGUUGGCGAGGUAACGGCUCACCAAGGCAAAGAUGGGUAUGGGAUGUGAGAGCAUGAUCCCACUCACUGGGACUGAGACACUGCCCAGACACCUACGGGUGGCUGCAGUCGAGAAUCUUCGGCAAUGGGGGCAACCCUGACCGAGCGACGUCGCGUGCGAGAUGAAGGCCUUCGGGUUGUAAAUCGCUGUCAGUGGGGAGGAAAUGCUGGUGGGUUCUCCCAUCAGUUUGACCUAUCCGCAGAGGAAGGACGGGCUAAGUUCGUGCCAGCCGCCGCCGUAAGAC
rnacentral:rRNA from 1 species